rnacentral:lncRNA from 1 species
GCAGUAGAUGUGAGUUCAGGCCAGCCAAGGUCGCACAGCUAUAGCAUAAAAAUAAAAAAAUACACAGGGGCAUGUAGCUCAUUAAAGAACUUGGCUAUCGUAGAAGAAUCCUUCAUUUCAGUCCCCAGCAGUGUUCACACUGGUGUUUCAUCCGAGUAAUCCCAACACCCAAGCAAUCAGGAUAUGAAUGUAGGAGGAUCAGAAGUUUAAAGUUGUCCUUAGCUUCAUAAUUCAAGGCCAGCUUGGGUUAUGUGAAUUUUGUUAGAUAAAAAUUUCUUGGGCAAAUUGUGACUGUCGGUACAAUUUUUUUUUUUUUAAUGUAGUCCUGCUAUAUGCAGCACUGGCUGACCCUCAAACAACAGUGCCAUAGGCAAGACUUGGUGUGCUUUUGAUGUCUACAGGUGGCUUUGGUUCACAGCCCUAGCUGACCUGCAGAUGGUGACCUUGAGUGCAUCCUUUCCCUAAGUGGGCUGGGAUUAUGGCCCCCUCUUAUCUUUUAAAAACAUGUAUUCGGCUGGAGAGAUGGCUCAGCGGUUAAGAGCACUGACUGCUCUUCCAGAGGUCUGCAUUCAAUUCCCAGCAACCACAUGUUGGCUCACAACCUUCUGUAAUAAGAUCCUAUGCCCUCUUCUGGUGUGUCUGAAGACAGCGACAGUGUACUUAUAUAUAAUAAAUCUUUUUUUUCUUUUAAGUCUUCAUUUUGAGGUGAUUUCACUAUGUAGCCAGGUUGACACAAGGAGUUCAUAAUUUUUCUUCAUCCCCCCCCAAUGCUGUGAUUACUGGUCCUUAGCUGGUUCUUCUCCACUGGGUUUGCACUGGAGCACCAAAGCCUCAGAGCUUGCAAAGCACCUCCACCACCCAGGACUGUGGUUUGUCCCUCUGCCCAGUUUACAAGUGGGACACGCUAUGGUGGUUCUACUUAAGUUUUAGGCAAGCCAGACUACUAGUACACUUCCUUCCGGGUGCGCUUUAUUUCCUUUAUAAAAUGGCUUUUGACUGUUUAGCACAUUGUUCCUGUAUAGAAGUGUAAGUAAGUGAACUUAGCGGUCAGUGUGCAUACAUGUCUGAACUGCCAAUCUAAUGCAUGCUAACUAGUAUUUGACUUGUUCUCAUAUUCCUGUAAGACGGAUUGUUUGUUCCUGUUUACAAAGCAGUGGAUUUUGGAGAGAGAAAAAAACACAAGCUAAGGUAUGUCUUCUCAGCAUUUGGAGGAUGGAGACAAGGAUCAGGAACUAAAAGUCAAUAGUGAGUUUGAGACAAGGCUGGGCUUUUUUCAAAACAGGGUCUCACUGUAACCCUGGCUGUCAGGAUGGCCUCAAAUUCACACAUCCCCCUCCCUGCCUCUGCCUCUCAAGUACUGGAAUUAAAGGUAUGUGCCACUAGGCCCUGCUUGAGAACUGACUUAAAAGUUGUCCACUGACCUCUAUGUGCAUGCUGUGUUGUCGUCUAUCCCCCCCUCCCCUCAAAUAAUAAAAUUUGAAAAAUAACC